GAUGAACGCUGGCGGCGUGCCUAAUACAUGCAAGUAGAACGCUGAAGGAGGAGCUUGCUCUUCUGGAUGAGUUGCGAACGGGUGAGUAACGCGUAGGUAACCUGCCUGGUAGCGGGGGAUAACUAUUGGAAACGAUAGCUAAUACCGCAUGACAACAGUUAUUGCAUGAUAACUGUUUAAAAGGGGCAACUGCUCCACUACCAGAUGGACCUGCGUUGUAUUAGCUAGUUGGUGAGGUAACGGCUCACCAAGGCGACGAUACAUAGCCGACCUGAGAGGGGGGUCAGCCGCACUGGGACUGAGACACGGCCCAGACGCCUACGGGAGGCAGCAGUAGGGAAUCUUCGGCAAUCGGCGGAAGUCUGACCGAGCAACGCCGCGGGAGGGAAGAAGGUUUUCGGGUCGUAAAGCUCGGUUGUAAGAGAAGAACGAGUGUGAGAGUGGAAAGUUCACACUGUGACGGUAUCUUACCAGAAAGGGACGGCUAACUACGUG
rnacentral:rRNA from 1 species